GACGAACGCUGGCGGCGUGCCUAAUACAUGCCAGUAGAACGCUGAAGGAGGAGCUUGCUUCUCUGGAUGAGUUGCGAACGGGUGAGUAACGCGUAGGUAACCUGCCUGGUAGCGGGGGAUAACUAUUGGAAACGAUAGCUAAUACCGCAUAAUAGUAGAUGUUGCAUGACAUUUGCUUAAAAGGUGCAGUUGCAUCACUACCAGAUGGACCUGCGUUGUAUUAGCUAGUUGGUGGGGUAACGGCUCACCAAGGCGACGAUACAUAGCCGACCUGAGAGGGUGAUCGGCCACACUGGGACUGAGACACGGCCCAGACUCCUACGGGAGGCAGCAGUAGGGAAUCUUCGGCAAUGGACGGAAGUCUGACCGAGCAACGCCGCGUGAGUGAAGAAGGGUUUCGGAUCGUAAAGCUCUGUUGUAAGAGAAGAACGAGUGUGAGAGUGGAAAGUUCACACUGUGACGGUAUCUUACCAGAAAGGGACGGCUAACUACGUG
rnacentral:rRNA from 1 species